rnacentral:misc_RNA from 1 species
CACUUACAAAAAAAUAAGUAUAGUGAAUUUGAGAAGUUGGUUUUUGCAGUGUGGUCAGUAAUGGCGGUUUCUAUUCCUGUUCUUGUGAUUGUUAUUGCACUUCAUCUCAUUGCUUUUGUUCUUGCUGUCGGUGCUGAACGACGUCGUAGCACGGCGAAAGUUGUACCGGAUGAGUAUGAUGAACGGGCGUACUGUGUAUAUGGAACGGAUGCUUCUACAGCCUAUGGAUUGGCGGCAUUUGGUUUACUUCUGAUUAGCCAAACGUUGGUUAACGGCAUUACCAAGUGCUUGUGUUUUGGAAGAGGAAUGAUGGGUGGCAGUUCUACUACUUGUGCCAUUUUCUUUUUUGUCUUCUCCUGGGUUAGUUUUUUAGGAGCAGAAGCAUGCUUAUUGGCAGGAUCAGCAAAGAAUGCAUACCAUACAAAGUAUCGCGCGGUUUUCCAAGUUGAAAACUUGUCAUGUUCCACCCUCCGAAAAGGUGUAUUUGCUGCUGGCGCUGCCCUGACGUUAUUAUCAAUGAUUGGAUCCAUUUUCUACUACUGGAUACACUCGAAGGCUGAUACCGGUGGAUGGCAAAAACACCAAAACGAAGGACUUGGAAUGGCAGCAUCUAACUAUACCGAAUCUACUGAAAGAAAAGGCUGAAUCCGUGUUUCUUCUAAAAGGUCCGUUGCAUUUACAAUUCGAACAAGAUGUUUCGAUGAGGAACUCAAACAUGAAGAGUUCUAGUUCUUGGUUUGGUUUUCUACCAUCCAUAGUUACAUACAUAAUAUAUUAUAUAUGAACGUAGCUCGUAGGAAUUUAAGUAAAUUCGUAUUAAGCACCAAUUCGCGUCCACAUCGUGUCUGUAAUAGCUUUUGUGAGGAGGUUAUUGUAGAUUAUGAUCUCUAUGAUUUUCUUGGUAGUGAACUUGAAAAAGGGUACAAUUUUCUGCAGUUUAUUUUGUAAUUCUAUGUAAGUGAACAAACUAUGAAAUGAAAAGAAUGG